GCCGCUGCCAUCAGUAUCCAGCUGCGCAAACACGCCUUGAUCGAGAUCAAGCCCUCCAUUUGAACAUUGGUCAAUGAUCCUGACUGUCGCCUGUGCUCCGGUGGCCGUGUUAGUUACCAGCAAGCAUUUGCCGCAGGAGGCCUCGCCGGUAGGGCCGACAGGGCCGCAGAAGGCAGUCCAGCCAUACUUCUGCCGCCAUGCGAGGGGCUCGCUGGCGUCCCACGUAGCGCAGUAGGCGCUGACGGCGUUG
rnacentral:misc_RNA from 1 species